AUUCCAUGGUGGGGACAUUUUCUCAACAACUCCUUAAAGCGCUCCCAAGCACCAUACAAUGACUCCCCAUCCAUCUGAUAAAAAUUAUUGAUGUCGCCCCUCAAUUU